GAGUUUGAUCCUGGCUCAGGAUGAACGCUGGCGGCAUGCCUAAUACAUGCAAGUCGAACGAGAGGAAGGAAAGCUUGCUUUUCUGAAUCUAGUGGCGAACGGGUGAGUAACACGUAGGUAACCUGCCCAUGUGCCCGGGAUAACUUCUGGAAACGGAUGCUAAAACCGGAUAGGUAGCAGACAAGCAUUUGACUGCUAUUAAAGUGGCCUUGGCCAUGAACAUGGAUGGACCUGCGGUGCAUUAGCUAGUUGGUGAGGUAACGGCCCACCAAGGCGACGAUGCAUAGCCGGCCUGAGAGGGCGGACGGCCACAUUGGGACUGAGACACGGCCCAAACUCCUACGGGAGGCAGCAGUAGGGAAUUUUCGUCAAUGGGGGGAACCCUGAACGAGCAAUGCCGCGUGAGUGAGGAAGGUCUUCGGAUCGUAAAGCUCUGUUGUAAGAGAAAAACGGCACUCAUAGGGAAUGAUGAGUGAGUGAUGGUAUCUUACCAGAAAGUCACGGCUAACUACGUGCCAGCAGCCGCGGUAAUACGUAGGUGGCGAGCGUUAUCCGGAAUGAUUGGGCGUAAAGGGUGCGUAGGUGGCAGAUCAAGUCUGGAGUAAAAGGUAUGGGCUCAACCCGUACUGGCUCUGGAAACUGAUCAGCUAGAGAACAGAAGAGGACGGCGGAACUCCAUGUGUAGCGGUAAAAUGCGUAGAUAUAUGGAAGAACACCGGUGGCGAAGGCGGCCGUCUGGUCUGGAUUCUGACACUGAAGCACGAAAGCGUGGGGAGCAAAUAGGAUUAGAUACCCUAGUAGUCCACGCCGUAAACGAUGAGAACUAGGUGUUGGGGGAAUAACUCAGUGCCGCAGUUAACGCAGUAAGUUCUCCGCCUGGGGAGUAUGCACGCAAGUGUGAAACUCAAAGGAAUUGACGGGGGCCCGCACAAGCGGUGGAG
rnacentral:rRNA from 1 species